rnacentral:rRNA from 1 species
UACGUAGGGGGCAAGCGUUGUCCGGAUUUACUGGGCGUAAAGAGCGUGUAGGCGGCCACGCAGGUCCGUUGUGAAAACUGGAGGCUCAACCUCCAGCUGUCGACGGAAACCGUGUGGCUAGAGUCCGGAAGAGGAGAGUGGAAUUCCUGGUGUAGCGGUGAAAUGCGCAGAUAUCAGGAAGAACACCAAUGGCGAAGGCAGCUCUCUGGGACGGUACUGACGCUGAGACGCGAAAGCGUGGUGAGCGAACAGG